GUAGGUGUUCAUGUUUUACUUUUUUGGAGGAGAAAAUUUGGACUUCAGUAGGUUAAAACGGCUUAGCCAAGGUCUGAAGUUACUGGCAACAGAGUUGGCAUUGAUUCUCCUCCUUGAUUCUCAUUGAUUCUCAUAUAAUUUAUAUACAAUUUAUAUACUUAUGUCACAGAGAGGAGGCAACCAAUUUCAGAGAUGGUAUGAAGGCUUGCUGAAGAAGGGUAUGGUUGGGAUGAGAACACUGAGCAUUUUAUAAAAGUUCACAAUGAUCACUUAAAGGCUCCGUGGUGGUCUUAAAAUAUAUCCACAAAUUUUCUGACAUCCUCUCUUCAAGAAGUGGAGCUUAAUUCCCUUUCCUUUGAGUGCAGACCACUCACUCUGGGAGAAAGCAACUGGCUAUGUCAUGAGGAAAUUGAAACCACCUAUGGAGAAAGGCCCACAUGAAUUCUGUAAGUCUGCUACGGUGACAUUUCUGGUUAGGAGUCAGAGUGGAUGGGACACUGAGCAAUAAGAAUGCAGAGACAUGAUGGCUGAAGCUGGAGCUUUUCCCUGAAGCAACCACCUGUUGGAAACUUCAUGUUGAAGAUGACUGAAUAAUAAGACAGAGGGGUCUGGGUCCCUGGUGGAUAUUCCAGAUCUGGGUGUUCGUGGAGAUAUGAGAAAGCAAUAAACUUCAAUUUUGCUUAAAUAGCUGUUACUUGGGGCAUUCUGUCAUUUAUGGACA
rnacentral:lncRNA from 1 species